GACGAACGCUGGCGGCGUGCUUAACACAUGCAAGUCGAACGGAAAGGCCCUGCUUUUGUGGGGUGCUCGAGUGGCGAACGGGUGAGUAACACGUGAGUAACCUGCCCUUGACUUUGGGAUAACUUCAGGAAACUGGGGCUAAUACCGGAUAGGAGCUCCUGCUGCAUGGUGGGGGUUGGAAAGUUUCGGCGGUUGGGGAUGGACUCGCGGCUUAUCAGCUUGUUGGUGGGGUAGUGGCUUACCAAGGCUUUGACGGGUAGCCGGCCUGAGAGGGUGACCGGCCACAUGGGGACUGAGAUACGGCCCAGACUCCUACGGGAGGCAGCAGUGGGGAAUAUUGCACAAGGGGCGGAAGCCUGAUGCAGCAACGCCGCGUGCGGGAUGACGGCCUUCGGGUUGUAAACCGCUUUCGCCUGUGACGAAGCGUGAGUGACGGUAAUGGGUAAAGAAGCACCGGCGAACUACGU
rnacentral:rRNA from 1 species